CGUCAAAUCAGCACGGCCCUUACGUCCGGGGCGACACACGUGUUACAAUGGGGGGUACAGAGGGCAGCUACAUAGUGAUAUGAUGCUAAUCUCAAAAACCUCUCACAGUUCGGAUUGGAGUCUGCAACUCGACUCCAUGAAGUUGGAUUCGCUAGUAAUCGCACAUCAGCCAUGGUGCGGUGAAUACGUUCCCGGGCCUU
rnacentral:rRNA from 1 species